GAAGACUGUUUUCAAAUACAUGCCGGAGAAGGUACCUGCAUCUUCAGACAAGAUGAGACGAGAUUGAGCAUUUGCAUAUAUCUUAGUUGGUUGUAACUACUAAUGAAUGCUGUUGCAGGCUGCCGACAGAGAAGAGACGUCGGCCGGGUGGAUGGCAGAAGCAGAGCCUCUCUGGUAAGGCCGUGGGCUUCUUAUUUGACACGGGCGCCCAGGGUGGGCACGCUAAGGCUGAGACCAUCGCCACUCGUUGUCCACAUCAAUGCUGGCGAGGAAAACAUACACAGAGCUACACAACCAAAUUCGACCCCCAUCAACAUCAGAACGGUUGCGCACGCUCCAGGUUAUGAUGUGGUGCUGGUCGGUGAGCUGACAAGCGGCCGUGCACGCCUCGAGGUAUUCACCGUCUUGAUCGUGGUGUUCAGCAAGGUGGCCGCCAGAAAGAUCUUUUCCUCUGCAUGUUCAGAUUAUUGCUAGUAGUGCCUAAACUUUGAGCUUCUGUGCCUGUUGAUAUUAGGAGCCAAAAUAGAUUUGCUUCAGUUUGGAAUCUAUUUGUUUCUUCUCUGUAUUUGGUGUAAUAUAGUGUGCCCCUUUUAUAUGAUCCAACAGGUAUUCACUGUCUUGAUCAUGGUGUUAGCAAGGUGGAAGUAAACAUGAGAAGUACCAUCAUUUUCAUCUGUGAAUGGCACCCAAGAAACUUUGAAUGAUAAUGAUUUGCAAAUAGCAUCUCCAGUCACCAAGCAAUUGGAUAGUGGUGAUCACUUGACACUACAACUACCAAUUAACCUGAGGUCAGAGACUCUAAAUGGUCAGAAACUUCCCCCUUCUUUUUACAGUGCAUUUUUUUCAAGAACACCUCGAGAGGGGCAGGGGGUUCCUGCAUUUCAUUAAGAAGAAGAGAGUUGGUCCAGUUUAUAAGGAAAACUGGACCCGAAAACUAACAUUCUCGGCUAAUCAGGGAAAACUGAAAGAAAACCCAAAAAGAAAGAUAAAAGAAAACAAGAAAAAAGAGGCACUGGAACUUGGGGAUAGGGACAAGACAAAAACAAACCAAAUUGUAGCUUGAAACAUCCUCAGCAUGACGAUGUGCCUUGAUGAUGUUUUUGUCUUACAAUGCAUUUAUCUAUUUCAGCUUGAACGAAGUUGUAACUUGCAAAGAUCCUCAACAUUUAUCAAACUCACUACCUGUAAGUAAUGCAUAUCCAGAUGAUUGGUUGGAGUAUGCAUAGCUCCAAGUCCUCUUCGGACCCUUCCACCUCACCGGCCUCACCACUAGAGACUGCGACGCGAGAACCGGCGCCACCGCCAUGUCUGCUAGUGACUCCCACGCAGGAAUCCAGAGGCAACAUCUUGGCCCUCUCCCUGCGAACACCAACUCUCUUACGAUGCAGUGGCGUCCUGAGGGCGGCGGGACCAACGCCACCAUCCUUGCCGACGUCCAACCAGUGCCACACAAUUAAUAGUUCUGCCGCCAUGCCGAUGCCCAUCUCCGUGCUGAUUGAACUGUUCGACCUGCCAGGAAUGGACAAGGUCAUUCGGCAUCUACAUUUGAUGUGCUAUUUGCUCUCUUUUCGUAAGUCAAGUGUAGCCUACAUGAUCAAUUUUGAACGUGCACUUUAUCUAAACUAACAUUUCUAACUCAAAUCAUUCUGGAGCGGAACUUGGGAUCAAACAAGGCAGCCCAAUGCGCUGAGAAAAGAUAGGAGCGCACAUAAACACCUCAAGAGGCGCUUGAAGGCGCGCCCCAACCAAUAGUCUAAUGCAUGGGAGGAGGACAAGGGGAAGGGUGGACUCAGUCGACCAAGGUGUUGUUCCCAUCCUCUAACCGCUUGUUGACGAAGAUGAGGCAUUGCUGGGCCUUGCGAAAACCCUUGGUGUCCUCGAUCUUGCCUUCACACCGUCGAUGGUGUCUAGGCUGUCGACAUCGAGAGCGAUGGUCCUGUCCAUAAGCCUCUCGGUCACAAAGAUCUACAUCAUUUGUUCAAGGUCGAGCGUAGAUUCAUGAUGGCUGCUUUUUUUUACAGAACCUCAUCAAAUGACGGAGAGCUCCUGUAUUGCAUUAAGAAGAAAGAGAGUUAGUCCAGUUAAUAAGGAAAACCGAACCAAUCAUACAUGACAUGGUUAAUUAAGGGAAACCGACAAA